CUGGCUUGUUCAGGGGGUACUGUAAGGUGGCUCUGGGGCCGCUGUAGGUCAGCAGCCUGUAUAUUCCCCUGAUGCUCAUCUUGCCCUCAUCUUGGGGGGCAAAAUGGAGGUCAAGGGGUUUGUUGGGGGCUAAGGAAGAGGUUCCAUGAGUGUAUCCCAUAGCUGCCCAGAGCAUCCCCAGAGCCAUCCUAGAGGAGCAGUUCCAGAGCAGCCCCAUCAUUGCCCAUAGCUCGUAGCCAGCAGCAGUUCCACCAGCAGCAGUGUGUUGGGUAAAGACAGCUCCUAAGUGUGGCUCUGCUGCAAGGCUGCCCCAAAGUGCUCCUGAAGCCCUCCCAUAGGCGUCUUUUAACUGUCCCACAACCCUGUGAGGCUUCCCCACAUCCCAGCACAUCCACGAACGUGCCUGUGGGGUGUGCGAGAAACGCUCACAUCCCUGAUGUUCCACCAGGCACAGCUCUCAGUGCAGCAGCAAAGCUCAUUCCUGAUUGCUGUGGCAUUACUGCAUUAUGCUCUGUGAGCUCCUUCUGCUCCUGUAGCUCUCCUCCCAUGGCACCCACUGCUCUCCUGUUCCCCCUUGGCUGGGCACUGCAGGCUCACAGUCUCCACCACGCAUCCGCUGUGCCGUUUUUCCAGAGGAGGUCUAUGGCCAACGUGUUCCUUUCGGGCUGAUUGUGUGCUUUUCUAUGCAGACAGGCAGGCAGGAUUUCGUGCAGCUGUUGCACGUGCUGGGUCUCAUGCUCCGUCCUGCGGCUGUGCCUUAUCUCGUGUGCACUCUCCACCUCCCCCUGGUCAGAACGUCCUGGCCCUGCUGUGCUCUGCUCAGCAUCUGUCUGCUGCACAAUGACACAGCUGUCACACUGAGCCUGCCUUGUGCUAUCCCUGCAGAUGUUGGAUGAUUUCCUCUGCCACUCUCCC
ensembl:lncRNA